rnacentral:lncRNA from 1 species
AGCAGACUCAGUCCAAGUUGCUUGUGCCUGUCCCUGGAAGUGCCUGGCUCAUUCAGACUGAAGGUGUGCCCGGGUAGACGUGAGGCCGCUAGCAAACGGCCUGCUGUGCACGUGGCCCAGUGCUCGCCUUGGAAAAUGACUGUAGCAUGUGACAGACCAUGUGGGAGGCAUCAUCCACCCGGGAUAGCCAGGAAGCUGCCCAGAUGAGGGGCACAGAGCCCAGGAUUAGGAGACGAAGAAGAAGAUGAUGAGACAAAGUCAUUUCCUAGAGGGUCCAAGCGGGAGGGCUUUCUAAGAAUGCCACACAAUCCAGGAGCUAGAUCUACAGCUUAUACACACUUUCUAAUCAGCUCCAUGUACAGAUCGGCACACUUCCUCUCCUCUUUCUGGAUGGGC